rnacentral:rRNA from 1 species
AACGAACGCUGGCGGCAGGCUUAACACAUGCAAGUCGAGCGCCCCGCAAGGGGAGCGGCAGACGGGUGAGUAACGCGUGGGAAUCUACCCAUCUCUACGGAAUAACGCAUGGAAACGUGUGCUAAUACCGUAUACGUCCUUCGGGAGAAAGAUUUAUCGGAGAUGGAUGAGCCCGCGUUGGAUUAGCUAGUUGGUGGGGUAAAGGCCUACCAAGGCGACGAUCCAUAGCUGGUCUGAGAGGAUGAUCAGCCGCACUGGGACUGAGACACGGCCCAGACUCCUACGGGAGGCAGCAGUGGGGAAUAUUGGACAAUGGGCGCAAGCCUGAUCCAGCCAUGCCGCGUGAGUGAUGAAGGCCCUGGGGUUGUAAAGCUCUUUCACCGGUGAAGAUAAUGACGGUAACCGGAGAAGAAGCCCCGGCUAACUUCGUGCCAGCCGCCGCUGUAACAC